GAUGAACGCUGGCGGCGUGCCUAAUACAUGCAAGUCGAGCGAACGGACGAGAAGCUUGCUUCUCUGAUGUUAGCGGCGGACGGGUGAGUAACACGUGGAUAACCUACCUAUAAGACUGGGAUAACUUCGGGAAACCGGAGCUAAUACCGGAUAAUAUUUUGAACCGCAUGGUUCAAAAGUGAAAGACGGUCUUGCUGUCACUUAUAGAUGGAUCCGCGCUGCAUUAGCUAGUUGGUAAGGUAACGGCUUACCAAGGCAACGAUGCAUAGCCGACCUGAGAGGUUGAUCGGCCACACUGGACCGGAGACACGGUCCAGGCUCCUACGGGAGGCAGCAGUGGGGAAUCUUCCGCAAUGGGCGAAAGCCUGACGGGGCAACGCCGCGUGAGUGAUGAGGGUUUUCGGUUCGUAAAACUCGGUUAUUAGGGAAGAACAUAUGUGUAAUUAACUGUGCCCAUCUUGACGUUACCUAACCAGAAAGCCCCGGCUAACUACGU
rnacentral:rRNA from 1 species